rnacentral:rRNA from 1 species
UACGUAGGAUGCUAGCGUUGUCCGGAUUUACUGGGCGUAAAGCGCGCGCAGGCGGCACUGUAAGUAAGGUGUGAAAUAUCCCUGCUCAACGGGGAGGGUGCACUUUAGACUGCAGAGCUAGAGGACGGUAGAGGGGGGUGGAAUUGCUGGUGUAGCGGUGAAAUGCGUAGAGAUCAGCAGGAACACCCGUGGCGAAGGCGGCCCCCCUGGGCCGAACCUGACGCUGAGGCGCGAAGGCUAGGGGAGCGAACGGGGAUUAAGAAACCCU